GACGAACGCUGGCGGCGUGCCUAAUACAUGCAAGUCGAGCGCAGGAAAUCAUCUGAACCCUUCGGGGGGACGUUGAUGGAAUGAGCGGCGGACGGGUGAGUAACACGUAAAGAACCUGCCCUCAGGUCUGGGAUAACCACGAGAAAUCGGGGCUAAUACCGGAUGGGUCAUCGGACCGCAUGGUCCGAGGAUGAAAGGCGCUUCGGCGUCGCCUGGGGAUGGCUUUGCGGUGCAUUAGCUAGUUGGUGGGGUAAUGGCCCACCAAGGCGACGAUGCAUAGGCGACCUGAGAGGGUGAUCGGCCACACUGGGACUGAGACACGGCCCAGACUCCUACGGGAGGCAGCAGUAGGGAAUCUUCCACAAUGGACGAAAGUCUGAUGGAGCAACGCCGCGUGAACGAUGAAGGCCUUCGGGUCGUAAAGUUCUGUUGUAAGGGAAGAACAAGUGCCGCAGGCAAUGGCGGCACCUUGACGGUACCUUACGAGAAAGCCACGGCUAACUACGUGCCAGCAGCCGCCGUAA
rnacentral:rRNA from 1 species